UUCGGGUUGGCGGAAGAAUACUUAACAUUACACAGUAGUUGAGAUUCACAUUGUUGACUGCUAGCCUGUGAUCAUAUGAAAUUUACACUGUUGACUGCUAGCCUGUGAUUAUAUGAAGUGGACUUGUAAGUUUAGCAAUUUUGUUACAUACAGUGAAAAAACAAUUAUUUCUCAUUACAAAAACAGUCACGGACGUGGAAGGCGGGGUUUCGUCUGUAUUUACUCCUCUUGUUUAACUAUCUUACCUUCCCUUGUGGACUUUUCACGACAUAAAAGAGCACAGAAAAGGAGCCAUUCCAACUGAGAGAAUUAUUUGUGAACUUUGUAGUUUUUCUGAGCCGUGCAACAUCAAACAAUAUUUUAUUCAUUUAAAGAGACAUCUGCUGAAAAGAGAAACUGUGAAUUGCCCUUUUGUGGACUGCACAUUUAGAUCUGGGGUGGUUUCUACUUUCACUGCUCAUCGGAGUCGUUAUCAUCAUUCAUCAACAUUAGAACAUUUCAAACCUGACCUUGUAACUUUUGAAUAUUUGCCUGUAACAAGGGAUGAACAACUUGAGGAUUCAGUUUCAUCAGAUUUAUUAGAACCUGAAGCGGAACCCGAACCUGAACUUCAGUUGGGUCAUGAGGCCAUUCAGCUGAGAAUUGCUUCCCUUUUCCUUCGGAUGCAAGCACAUGUGUCUCAAUCAGCAUGUGGCCCAUGUUUGUUCUUGUAAUCUUAUGCUAUGUACAAGUAGUAUAACACACACACACUCCUUGUUUGAAUACUGUUGUUUCAUAUUCCUCAAGUAAAACACAUACACACAUAAACACAUGUGUUUCCCAUGUUUAAAUACUGUUGUUUGCUACAUCUGAAGUAAAUCACACUGAUAUUCACACAUUUGUUUCUUAUGUUGGAAUACUGUUGUACUCUUAAGUAACACUAAUAUACACAAACACUGAAUUUGUUUCUCAUGUGUCAAUACGGUUUUAUUAUAUGAAG